rnacentral:rRNA from 1 species
CAGUGGGGAAUAUUGGGCAAUGGGCGCAAGCCUGACCCAGCCACGCCGCGUGAGUGAUGAAGGCCUUCGGGUCGUAAAGCUCUGUGGGGAGGGACGAAAAAACGCUGGCCAAUAUCCAGCGGACUGACGGUACCUCCUUAGCAAGCACCGGCUAACUCUGUGCCAGCAGCCGCGGUAAUACAGAGGGUGCAAACGUUGCUCGGAAUCAUUGGGCGUAAAGCGCACGUAGGCGGCCCAGCAAGUGGGGAGUGAAAGCCCUCGGCUUAACCGAGGAAGUGCUUUCCAAACUACUGGGCUUGAAUACUGGAGAGGGUCGCGGAAUUCCCGGUGUAGAGGUGAAAUUCGUAGAUAUCGGGAGGAACACCAGUGGCGAAGGCGGCGACCUGGACAGAUAUUGACGCUGAGGUGCGAAAGCGUGGGGAGCAAACAGGAUUAGA